rnacentral:lncRNA from 1 species
CCUCUGGUGAAAAAGCCAAGGCUGUCAAAAUGAGGACCCAUAAGAUCCUCUAGUAGCAGUCAGACAUAUAUGUCAAUAUUAGGCAAAACUGCCAGAAACCUAGAAGUAUCAAAGACAUGGUGUUGAAGAAGAUUCAAGGUUUAGAUCAUGAUGCCCAACAUUCAUUACAAGAGCAAAAAGCAAACCAAGUACAUAAUAUACAGCAGAUUUCAAAAGUUCCUUAUCCACAUAUGAAGAAACUGAAGUUCUGUUGAUGUGCAACAAAUCUUACUGUGCUGAGAUUUCUCACAAAGGUUCCUCCAAGAUGCCAAAACUAUCAUAGAAAGAACAAUAUAUCUAGUCAUUAGAGUAAUUAAUCACAAUAGCAGGCUAUGAAGAGAAGAAAAUGAA